GUGUCUGACACGGCCCUUCGGUUGCAGGUCUGCAGCGUUCGGUCGGUAAUGGUGC
rfam:Proteus mirabilis strain HI4320, complete genome